rnacentral:rRNA from 1 species
UGGGGAAUAUUGCACAAUGGGCGCAAGCCUGAUGCAGCCAUGCCGCGUGUGUGAAGAAGGCCUUCGGGUUGUAAAGUACUUUCAGCGGGGAGGAAGGGAGUAAAGUUAAUACCUUUGCUCAUUGACGUUACCCGCAGAAGAAGCACCGGCUAACUCCGUGCCAGCAGCCGCGGGAAUACGGAGGGUGCAAGCGUUAAUCGGAAUUACUGGGCGUAAAGCGCACACAGGCGGUUUGUUAAGUCAGAUGUGAAAUCCCCGGGCUCAACCUGGGAACUGCAUCUGAUACUGGCAAGCUUGAGUGUCGUAGAGGGGGGUAGAAUUCCAGGUGUAGCGGGGAAAUGCGUAGAGAUCUGGAGGAAUACCGGUGGCGAAGGCGGCCCCCUGGACGAAGACUGACGCUCAGGUGCGAAAGCGUGGGGAGCAAACAGG